ACCAGUGGUUGCUGGCAUUCCAGGGGGCAGUUCCUCGCACACACCCAUGCACCACAAGUGAUGGUGAAAAAAUGGUGACAUAUACUGAUGAUGGACGGAUUGUAUUAUUGGACCCUCCAGAAAGAACACAGUCUGUCACAGUUAUGAAGAUGAUGAAGAUGACGAUGAAGAGACCACAUCUGCUGUGACAGAAGUGGACAAUGCUUGUAGAUCCACUGAGGUAUGAUGCAUACCAUUAUAAUGUAUGGCCCCUUUUGGCAUUACAAACUGUCAUUGUCCUUUCACAGUACAUACCUAGGGAUUUGCCCACACAUGAGGGUCCUUCAACCUCAGCACACAAUCGAAGCAGGG